rnacentral:tRNA from 1 species
AGAUAAUUAGUCUAAAAAAGACAUUUGAUUUCGGCUCAAAAGCUUGUGGUUAGAGCCCACAAUUGUCCU